GCCUUCGUUGUGUAAUUGGAAGCACUUCCACCUGGCAAUCGGGAAAUCCGGAGUUCGAAUCCCAGCAAGGGCA
rnacentral:tRNA from 1 species